UGUGGGAGGUGCUGGACAGAAACGAUCGCAGACCCGGUCAGGUCCGGAAGGAAGCAGCCGCGGCGAAAGAAUCUGGGUCAGUACCGCCCCCCCUAAA
rnacentral:SRP_RNA from 1 species